CAAACGGUCCUUUUCAGGACCACCAACAAGUGUGCAAACAAGAAUU
rfam:Anopheles funestus strain FTMOZ unplaced genomic scaffold supercont1.1316, whole genome shotgun sequence.